UCCAAGGGAGAUUCCCCAAAUAGAAGCCCCCCACCCCGACCCCUGCCAGCCACUUCUGUGUCCAGCUGUCCACGGGAUGUGAAGCCAGGCCAUGUUCAGCUUUUUCAGCCAGCGCAGAGGAACAGCUGCCCCCCAUCACCGAUGGCACAGGGAGGAAGUCUCCUCAGCAUGCUUUAUGGUGUUGAGCAUCAUUGCUGAUGCCAUCCUCUGCUGGGUGGACCAGAAUGGUGAUGGAUGAAGAACAGAAGAGCCAAGGCCUGCUGGAGCAAUUGGGAGAGACCCUUCUCCAGGGAGACUGGAUGCUGCCUCCAAAAUCUCAAGAGCUCUUCUGGAAAAGCAGGGCUUCCUCUUCUCUGCCUGAUCUGAGGAGUCUGACCCCCCAUCUUCUGUCUGAGGAACAUCGUGUAAUCCUCGGUGAAAUUACAGGUUCAACUUCUGGGAAUGCCUCUCCAUGCAAACGAGGUAUCUCCAGAAACUUAAGCCUCAGCCAAUGAAAAUUCGCCCUCAGAAGAGCCCCUUCCCAUUCUCCAAGAUUCAUAUAUAUAUUUAGCCCUUGAUUCAUCCUGAAUAAAGUGUCUGCACACACACUAUUUCAUUGAAUAGCAUCUAAGAGAGCUAUAACAAUAAAAUCCUUGGAGAAGC
rnacentral:lncRNA from 1 species